rnacentral:rRNA from 1 species
ACAUGGUCUUUUGUUUAUAUAAAAGAUCUGGCCUGCCCAAUGAUGAUUUUAAUGGCUGCAGUAUUUUGACUGUACAAAGGUAGCAUAAUCACUUGUCUUUUAAUUGGAGUCUGGAAUGAAUGGUUGGAUGAAAGAUUUACUUUCUUUAUUUUAAAUAUAAAAUUUAAUUUUUAAAUUAAAAAGUUUAAAUAUUAAUAGAGGACGAGAAGACCCUAUAGAACUUCAUUUAUAAUACGUAUUUAUUAGUUUGUUAAUCAUAAAUAUAUAUUUUAUAUAUAAAUUAUAUUGGGGUGAUAGAAAAAAUUUUUUAACUUUUUCUUAUUUAUUCAUUUAUAUAUGUAUUUUUGAUCCUUUAUUAUGGAGUAUAAGAAUAAGUUACCUUAGGGAUAACAGCGUUAUUAUUUUAGAGAGUUCAUAUUGAUAAAAUAGUUUGCGACCUCGAUGUUGGAUUAAAAUUAGCUUCGGGGGUAGAAUAUCGAGAGUUAAGUCUGUUCGACUUUUAAAUUUUUACAUGAU